rnacentral:rRNA from 1 species
AACGUAGGAGACGAGCGUUAUCCGGAAUUACUGGGCGUAAAGCGCGUGUAGGCGGAAGUGUAAGUCUUUUGUGAAAGCUCCUGGCUAAACUGGGAGAGGUCGAAAGAUACUGCACAUCUGGAGUAUGGGAGAGGGGUGUGGAAUUCCGGGUGUAGUGGUGAAAUGCGUAGAUAUCCGGAGGAACACCAGUGGCGAAGGCGGCACCCUGGCCCAAGACUGACGCUAAGACGCGAAAGCAUGGGGAGCUAACGGG